UUCUUUGAUGUGCAUGAACAAGAAGGAAGCCACCCUGGAGGAGUUCAUCUGGAGAUGACUGGACAAAAUGUGACAGAGUGCCUUGGGGGAUCACUUGCUGUGACAUUGGAUGACUUGACUUCACACUACCACACCCACUGUGACCCUAGGCUCAAUGCUUCGCAAUCUCUAGAGCUGGCUUUUAUCAUUGCAGAGCGUCUUCGAAGGAGAAGGAUCAAGUCACAAACCAUCUAUCGCCCCUAUGAGCCUGUAAAAUGGCAGCGAGGGCUCACCAAUAUGUUUGGCUUUUCACAAAGUUAAUUAACUCUUAUAAGCCCGUAUUGAUAGAACUUCUAUAAGAGUUAAUUUAUGUCAAGUACUGUAUGUGUAUACCUGAAGACGGUAAUGUUUGAGACUUGAAAAAACGAAAGAAAUAAAUGGAGAGUUAAAGGCUUCGUCCCAAUAUGAUAAAUUUGUGAGCCCUCGCUGCCAUUUUACAGGCUC
rnacentral:misc_RNA from 1 species